UACGAGGGGGGCAAGCGUUGUUCGGAAUUAUUGGGCGUAAAGGGUGCGUAGGCGGUUUGGUAAGUCUUAUGUGAAAUCUACAGGCUCAACUUGUAGUCUGCAUGAGAAACUGCCGGGCUUGAGUAUGGGAGAGGUGAGUGGAAUUCCUGGUGUAGCGGUGAAAUGCGUAGAUAUCAGGAGGAACACCUGUGGCGAAAGCGGCUCACUGGACCACAACUGACGCUGAUGCGCGAAAGCUAGGGGAGCAAACAGG
rnacentral:rRNA from 1 species